UGGGGAAUAUUGGACAAUGGGCGAAAGCCUGAUCCAGCCAUGCCGCGUGUGUGAAGAAGGUCCUCGGAUUGUAAAGCACUUUAAGUUGGGAGGAAGGGCAGUAAGCGAAUACCUUGCUGUUUUGACGUUACCGACAGAAUAAGCACCGGCUAACUCUGUGCCAGCAGCCGCGGUAAUACAGAGGGUGCAAGCGUUAAUCGGAAUUACUGGGCGUAAAGCGCGCGUAGGUGGUUCGUUAAGUUGAAUGUGAAAGCCCCGGGCUCAACCUGGGAACUGCAUCCAAAACUGGCGAGCUAGAGUAGGGCAGAGGGUGGUGGAAUUUCCUGUGUAGCGGUGAAAUGCGUAGAUAUAGGAAGGAACACCAGUGGCGAAGGCGACCACCUGGGCUCAUACUGACACUGAGGUGCGAAAGCGUGGGGAGCAAACAGG
rnacentral:rRNA from 1 species